rnacentral:rRNA from 1 species
UGGGGAAUAUUGCACAAUGGGCGCAGGCCUGAUGCAGCCAUGCCGCGUGUGUGAAGAAGGCCUUCGGGUGUAAACCGCUUUGUCAGGGAAGAAAUCUUCUGAGUUAAUACCUCGGGAGGAUGACGGUACCUGAAGAAUAAGCACCGGCUAACUACGUGCCAGCAGCCGCGGUAAUACGUAGGGUGCAAGCGUUAAUCGGAAUUACUGGGCGUAAAGCGUGCGCAGGCGGUUUUGUAAGACAGAGGUGAAAUCCCCGGGCUCAACCUGGGAACUGCCUUUGUGACUGCAAGGCUUGAGUGCGGCAGAGGGGGAUGGAAUUCCGCGUGUAGCAGUGAAAUGCGUAGAUAUGCGGAGGAACACCGAUGGCGAAGGCAAUCCCCUGGGCCUGCACUGACGCUCAUGCACGAAAAGCGUGGGGAGCAAACAGAUUAGAUACCCCUGGUAGUCCACGCCCUAAACGAUGUCAACUGGUUGUUGGGAAGGUUCCUUCUCAGUAAACGUAGCUAACGCGUGAAGUUGACCGCCUGGGGAGUACGGCCGCAAAGGUUGAAAACUCAAAAGGAA